UCCAUAGUGGUUUUCAUAUCUCCUCUUGUAAAAAAUUAGUAAGGCCCCAUGGGGCUCCUGACUGGUUCAGUCAGUAGAGCAUGUGACUCUUGAUCUGAGGGUCAUGAGUUCAAGCCCCACAUUAGGCCUAGAGCUUACUUUAAAAAAAACAAUCAAAAAAUUAUCAAGGACCCCACAGAGUUUUCUGUUUAUGCAGAUUAUAGCUACCAGUAUUUACUUAAUUGAGAAUUAAAAUUUGUAAAAUGCUUCAGUAGAUUUCCAUUUCUAAUUCAAAAAGCUGUAAUAAUUUUUGGCUUUCAAAGAGCCUGUAAUGUCUACAUUUAAAUAUUCUUUUUCUGUAAACUCUAAUUGGUAUUAAAAUGAUGCCAAUACUUGGCAUCAUGAUGCUAUAUAAAAUGUUCUGUUGCAUAACACAAAAUAAGGAACAUUAUUACCAUCCAUAAAGCUGACAAGAAAAUAUGUCUCAUCAUAUUUUCAUUUUUUAUUUACAGUUCGGCCCACUUGCUUUGGAACAGAUGUCUCCUUUCCAAGAGCAAGAGAACUCACUAUACACCAUCUUUAACCAUAGACUUUUUCUUCCACUUCGUUUGCUUAAACAAAGUGCUAAUUAGCAUUAACAUUUUGCAUCUAAAUAUGGAGUGAGCAAUAUGCUGGAGCAUGGCCUCAUCUCUGGGGACAGGAUUUAGGGCUUUUUCUUCUGCAAGGUGUUUUCCUCCUAGAAUUCAGGCUGACUGCAGAUGACCUGGGGAGACUGGAGUGCAUCCUUUCAUCUACUCAGCUAGGUUGAUUUAUGGAGCUUUUCCAGACAAGAUGACACCCAUUUCAUAGACUUUCAGCUCCUCAUCAAACAGUCUGCUUGACCUUAGCAUCCACAUGUUUUGCUUUGGGGUGGCAAAUUAAAUGCUCAGAGACUGAGUUCAUCUUAGCCAGUGAUUUAUUUAGUACAAGUUCACUGCAGGAAUUUCACAACCCAGGGCAUAUAGGGUAAUAUCUCUUCAAAAGCCAGUGAAGAAAUAACCUACUUCAAACAAAUGAUAAUCACGCAGUUGUUCCAGGCAAGGGGAGGUGAAAAAAAUAGAGCCCACAUUUAGUUGAGGUGUACUCUUAUACGAGUUGUACUUGAGUGAGAUGGCUUAGCCAACUGAUAGUUUAUGUCUGGCUGCCAGUCCAACAAUUGCUAGAGCACAUUGCUAAGGAAGGAGGACACCACUGUUG